UACGGAGGAUGCAAGCGUUAUCCGGAAUGAUUGGGCGUAAAGAGUCCGUAGGUGGUGAUUCAAGUCGAUUGUUAAAGAGCGGGGCUUAACCCCGUAGAAGCAGUGGAAACUGAAUCACUAGAGAGAGGUAGGGGUAGAGGGAAUUCCCGGUGUAGUGGUGAAAUGCGUAGAGAUCGGGAGGAACACCAGUGGCGAAGGCGGCUCGCUGGGCCGGACCUGACGCUGAGACGCGAAGGCGUGGGGAGCGAACGGG
rnacentral:rRNA from 1 species